AGCGAACGCUGGCGGCAGGCCUAAUACAUGCAAGUCGAACGGAUCCUUUUAGGAUUAGUGGCGGACGGGUGAGUAACACGUGGGAACGUGCCCUUUGGUUCGGAACAACUCAGGGAAACUUGAGCUAAUACCGGAUGUGCCCUUCGGGGAAGGAAUUUAUUCGCCACUUGGUAGGCGGCCCGGCCGUCUGAUUAGUCUAGUUGGGUUGGGGUAAAGGGACCGUACCAACGGACGGACGAUCAGUAGCUGGUCUGAGAGGA
rnacentral:rRNA from 1 species